rnacentral:rRNA from 1 species
UACGGAGGGUGCGAGCGUUAAUCGGAAUUACUGGGCGUAAAGAGUGCGUAGGUGGUUAAUUAAGUUAUCUGUGAAAUCCCUGGGCUUAACCUGGGCAGGUCAGAUGAUACUGAUUGACUCGAGUAUGGGAGAGGGUAGUGGAAUUUCCGGUGUAGCGGUGAAAAUGCGUAGAGAUCGGAAGGAACACCAGUGGCGAAGGCGGCUACCUGGCCUAAUACUGACACUGAGGCA